AACAGGGAUUGCCCUAGUAACGGCGAGUGAAGCGGCAACAGCUCAAAUUUGAAAUCUGGCUCUUUCAGAGUCCGAGUUGUAAUUUGCAGAGGGCGCUUUGGCUUUGGCAGCGGUCCAAGUUCCUUGGAACAGGACGUCACAGAGGGUGAGAAUCCCGUACGUGGUCGCUAGCUAUUGCCGUGUAAAGCCCCUUCGACGAGUCGAGUUGUUUGGGAAUGCAGCUCUAAAUGGGAGGUAAAUUUCUUCUAAAGCUAAAUAUUGGCCAGAGACCGAUAGCGCACAAGUAGAGUGAUCGAAAGAUGAAAAGCACUUUGGAAAGAGAGUCAAACAGCACGUGAAAUUGUUGAAAGGGAAGCGCUUGCAGCCAGACUUGCUUGCAGUUGCUCAUCCGGGCUUUUGCCCGGUGCACUCUUCUGCAGGCAGGCCAGCAUCAGUUUGGGCGGUGGGAUAAAGGUCUCUGACACGUUCCUUCCUUCGGGUUGGCCAUAUAGGGGAGACGUCAUACCACCAGCCUGGACUGAGGUCCGCGCAUCUGCUAGGAUGCUGGCGUAAUGGCUGUAAGCGGCCCGUCUUGAAACACGGACCAAGGAGUCUAACAUCUAUGCGAGUGUUUGGGUGUCAAGCCCGAGCGCGUAAUGAAAGUGAACGGAGGUGGGAACCCGCAAGGGCGCACCAUCGACCGAUCCUGAAGUUUACGGAAGGAUUUGAGUAAGAGCAUGGCUGUUGGGACCCGAAAGAUGGUGAACUAUGCUUGAAUAGGGUGAAGCCAGAGGAAACUCUGGUGGAGGCUCGCAGCGGUUCUGACGUGCAAAUCGAUCGUCAAAUUUGGGCAUAGGGCGAAAGACUAAUCGA
rnacentral:rRNA from 1 species